ensembl:lncRNA
CGAAAGAGAAGGAACAGGGAGUAUCAAAAAAGAAGGAGAGAAAAAAUUAACACCCAGCCAGAGUUGAAGAAAGAGUUUCUCAUAAAGGAAAGGGAAAGAUGGAGAAACAGUGAAAGAGGGAAAAAUAAAGAAUAUCAGUAAUCUGAAAGAAAGAGAAAAAAGGCAGAAGAGAAGCUUUUGGAGACAAGAGAGCAGCAGAGAACGUCCAGCAAGAAUACUCAAGAAAUAUCCCAUGAUGCACAGGGUUCGGGAGUUACAAAACACUGAGAGAAAACAUACCAAAGCAAAGAAAGCCUAAUUUCCUCCAGACCAUUUCUUCAAGUGUCCACAGUUUUUUUUGAAAACAAUGCAAGAAUAACAACAGAUAAGCAAGACACCAUCACCAGAAGAAAAGUAAAACGUCAAAGAAUGAUUAUGACAGACACUAUGCAAAACCUUCACAAUGCAUUUAUCGAGCAAAACCCAAACAUUCAACUUAGUUAUUCAUCCUUCUGUGCAUUGAGUCCAUUCUACAUCACAUCGCCUAGAGCAUCAGAUCGAAAAACAUGCCAAUGCCAGUACCACGAGAAUGCAAAAUUGAUGCUUGAGGUUCUGAAGUCAUUUCAAAGCUGUGUCAACCAGCAAACUUGAAGAGUCAUUCCAGCUUGUGUGUUGUCCUCCAGCUAGUGAAUCUUGUCUUCUACGUACUUGUUCAAGAUGUCUAAACAAAUGUUCAAGUCUUCCUUCAGAGCAACGGAAAACACAAGUGGAGUGGAAGCAGUGGAAACAUAUCAAAGAGCAAACGGAAGAUGGAGCUCAUUUUCACACCAAACUUCAGAAACACACUGGCACUCUGUCAGAGCUUAUGGUUCUCUACCAAGACAAAUUAAGAAGUGAAACAACCACCCAUUUCCAUCUAGUUCAAAAUCAAAACAGGGAGUACAAGAACAUGACAAGAAAUUGCAAUGAAACAACAGUUAUUGUGCAUGUUGACUUCUCUGAGGCCUGGAAAUGUAAAUUCAACUCGGAAGUACAAUCCUGCCGUUAUGGACAAAACCUCCCACAGAUAACACUUCACAUAGGCAUGUUUUACACCAAACAUGAAAAGGCAGGGUUUUGCACCAUUUCAGAGUCGAAGUGCCAGGAUGCAGCAGCCAUAUGGACCUACAUGGAUCAAGUCCUGAAAGAUAUUCAUACCAGACUGCCGUACAUUGACACUGUUCAUUUCUGGUCUGAUAGUCCAAGCAAACAGUAUAAAAAUAAAAAGAACUUUCUCCUCCUUUCUGCCAUCCCUCCCCAACUGGGAUUCAAGAAUGCAACAUGGAAUUUCUUCCCUACAUCCCAUGGAAAGGGUGCCCCAGAUGGCAUUGGGGCAACAGUGAAGAGAUGUGCAGACCACACUGUACUAAGAGGUCAGGACAUUGUGGAUGGCAGAGCAUUUUAUGAGAUGGUGUCCAGCAGACUAAGUGGUGUUAAGCUACACUAUGUCACCACUGAUGAUUUCCAGUCUUACGACACUAUACUCAGGAAACACUUGAAAUCCAUCACAGGAACAAGAAAGAUUCAUCAAGUAUUAGCUCAGGGAAAUAUCAUCCAUUGCAGACAUGUUUCAUGUUUUUGCAGUGUGCCAAAGAUUUGCCAGUGUUUCAGUCCAGUUGCUUACACUUUUGACGGCAUCUCACAGCACCCAGAUGAGCAUCAGAAUUCUAAGGCUGUUGCAAAACAAAGUCCUCUGGCCAUCUUGAUGGAAGCAAUGGAGAAAGAGCCCAGUAGAGCACCUGAUGGUACUACAACUACAGUAGGGUGCAGUGAUGUUUACACAGGAGACUGGCUUAUUGUCAUGGAUGACCAGAACUGGUGGCUGGCUAAAGCUUUAACAGUCGAUGAAGAGCAUCAAGAUGUUCAAGUAGAAUUUUUUUCAUCCUCAUGGGCCAAAUGUCAGAUUUCAACGAAAAAAAGGAUGCCAAGAUGUCUGCUUUGUUCCAUUUGCUGAUGUUUUAGUUAAGCUUAAUGAACCAUCAUCACCAGUCCGCACAAGCAGAACCCGGAACAUAUACCAAAUAUCUCCAGAGGUCAUGGACUUAGAUGAGGAAGUUGUUAAUCGACUGUUGCCUGGUGUUUAAAAUCCAGGCAUCCAGAUUUAGUGUUAUAUUCAAGUUUAUCCAGAUUUUCUGAGAUUGCUCAUUUGAAAGUUUUAAGAGCUAAAUGUUCUGAAUUAUUUUCUGCAUGACCAACAUAUGAUGAUUUUCUGAACUACAAACUGAUUAUAUGUGCUAUCUUACUGCCUUGUUCCUUAUUUUAAAGUCCUUGGCAUGUGCAAAAAUAGAACUGUUAUGAAGUGUCUUGCGAUAUUACAUAUGUAGUUAAAGUUUAAUGGUCAUUUUAAAAGAAAUAAUUUCUUGUUUUCUACUAGUGUGUCACCACCGUCAGAUUUGUGUCACCACCAUCAACACCUUGUCAACUCCAUAAUAUGGAUUUUUUGUUUAUUUUUCUCUUUUGAAGAACAAAAUGUUUUGCUCCCUCAUGAUCUUCCAAUAAAAAUACUUAAUUUUC